rfam:Burkholderia sp. AD24 chromosome II sequence.
GUGAGGGUGACCUGGCGUGAGGAAGCGUGGAGCGAAACCGCGAGCCGAUGGACAAGAACCGGAUAUAAGGCGGUGCCGAUCAGGGCGAGCGUGCAAUGAAGCGUGAAGCUCUCGUGGUCAAGGAUGUGGUCAAGGAUCAGGCAUCGUAAAUCCGGCGGUUGUGCGGCGAAGGAUUGCGUUC